rnacentral:rRNA from 1 species
UACGAAGGGGGCUAGCGUUGCUCGGAAUCACUGGGCGUAAAGCGCACGUAGGCGGCUUUCUAAGUCAGGGGUGAAAUCCUGGAGCUCAACUCCAGAACUGCCUUUGAUACUGGAGAGCUUGAGUCCGGAAGAGGUGAGUGGAACUCCGAGUGUAGAGGUGAAAUUCGUAGAUAUUCGGAAGAACACCAGUGGCGAAGGCGGCUCACUGGCCCGGUACUGACGCUGAGGUGCGAAAGCGUGGGGAGCAAACA